AGCCUGAAACAGUGUCCCUCUGUUACCCACAUCCCUAGCCUCCAUUCUUCUCUGUCUCCAGUGUGCACGUCUUGCUGCUCAUUCUCAGCACUGUUUGCCCCUGGUGGAGCUGAUGGAAAGGAUGCUUCUUAAAUUUUACAGCACAAGGAGGAAGAGACAAGAGCUCACUCUUUUCUUCAAAUGGAUUUCCCUGCCUUUGGUGAGUGCUUAAUUAAAAUGAGAAAAAGGUGGGAGUUCCCUGGUGGUCCAGUGUUUAGGACUCAGCGCUUUCACUGAGUCCAACCCCUGGUCAGGGAACUGAGAUCCCACAAGUCAUGUGGUGCAGCCAAAAGU
rnacentral:lncRNA from 1 species